UGACACUCCAGAAUACAGAAAAGUACAGGAACUGAAGACACAGCUGAGCGAGUAUCUUUAUGUUGAACUUGCCACCAAAGAGAGACCCCACCAUCAUGCUGGGAAACAGACCAAAGCCCUGAAACACGCUAAAGACGUAAAGGAUAUAUGGUCAGUGAGGUGCAUCCAGUUCACGCCUUUCCAGCCUCUGAGUCCCCACCGAAGCUGCAUACCUAGGCCGAGGCAUCUCGUGGCUCGCCAUCUCUGAGGACCUCAGGCGAAUCUGGAGCUUCUGGGAUGAGGAUCAUGACUCCUGUUAUGAGAAGAAAAAGAUCAUAAAGAGUUGAAACACGGGAGUCACAGCAUAACCACCUGCAGCCAAUAAAUUCUACUGGAUUUCCCCA
rnacentral:lncRNA from 1 species